rnacentral:lncRNA from 1 species
UCUUAGAUAUCUUGAGUGGAUACAAAUAAGUGAACAAGGGUAAAAUAGGGGAGACCACCCAGGAAAUUAAAGAUUUAGUAUUUGUGCCCUCUAAGAGUGAUCAUUUGAAAUCUUUAAGAGUGUAUAAUACUUAACUUUAGAGAGAUGGAAUCAAUUAUUGAGUGUAAUUGAUUUUAACGAGACCUUUGGUGGACCCCACUGCCGAAGGAUCCUAAUAUGACCCGAUAAUAAGGAGUUCAAGACUUAAAGACCUUAGAAGAACCUGAUCAAUUAUUGAGAUUUUUAGAGUCAUCCUACUCGAUAAACUUGAGGAUAAUAGUAUACUGUGAUACUAUGUGUAGACAAAUUCCUUUAUAUUUUUGGAAGUUAGAAAAGGGAUGUCUCGUUUUGGAAAUAUGUGAGAGCCUUGGAAAACUAUAAGCCUGAGAAUGAGAUUCCAGAAGAAAUCAAAGAGUUAUGAUCAAAUCCUAAUAGACUUGGAUGGAGAGAAUAAGCCUUAAUAAAUUGAGGAUCCAUACAACUUAACCGGAAAGAGUACGUGGCUUGGAUAUCAAAUCAUUGAAGAAUGAGAAAAGAUCUUGAUUUAGGAAAGUACUAAACCAUUUUCCAUAAGAUUAAUUUCUAGAGUUAGAAAAUGUAUAGACUUGAUUGUGGGAGCUUAAUAUCUUAGGAAAUAUAAACAUAGAAAUUAUUUUGUGGUCAUGUAGAAGUAGUUAAGAGCCAUAUACAUUGUGGCAAUUCCAUACUUGAUUAUUUAAAGGUUAAAGACCCUAUGAGCAUUUGAUCAAUUAUCGAGGUAUUUUUACACACCACCCAGACCUCGUUAAAUUUAAGGAUAGUAGUAUCACCCUUAUGAGAAGUUAUGUAAGGUGUGAUGAGAUUUUAAAGCGAGUUCUUAAUGAUUGUUCUCUUAUUUUGGGAGUUAGAAAAGAAUUAACCAUUUUGAAAGUAUUUAUGAACCACAAGAGAAUAUAAGCAUGAGACUAGGUUUCCAACAAAAGUUAAGGAGUUAUGAUUCUAUUACUAAGAGGAUGAAUGACUGUUAUCCUUGAGGUGUUGCAAUAGAAUCACUAUAAGCUAUAUACAGUGGAGAUAUCCAUUUUACAAGUAGUUAAGAAGACAAGUGUUUCAAGCCUUAGUAAAAUUGUCAGUAACCUAUAAGUCAGAAAUAGAUAGUGAGGAACUAGUUAAGAUACAUUUUUUUAAAUAAUGCCAUAAGUUGUUGUUGAAUAAGUCAGUGCAUUGAGAAAAGGGAGACAAUAGAGAUCAGUAAUCUAUUGAGAAGAAGAUCAAGGAUUCAAGCUUAUUGUGACCCUUGGGUAGUUGAAUUUGGAGGACCAAAUUCAUUUUUAAAGGGGGGAGGAUGUAAUGACCUAUAUUUUCUCUAGACAAAUUUCUUAUGUUUUGAAUGGUUAUUUAAGAAUGUAUAUGUAUGCAAAGAGAUGUAAUAACCUUAAGGACUAAAUUUUGAGUUAAAUGGAGAGAAGAUGUUUAAACUACGGUAAAAAGAACCCCUCAAAAAGAGAACUUUCUCUUAAUGAGGAAACUUAGUUCUCUAGGCCUAGGAAUGCUUCUUGUGAUUAAAAUAAUAUUAUAGAUGGUAAGAAGAUGCUUCAAGAAUAUGAGAGAGUAAUUGGAUUAACAAUCAGAAGAGAAAUCUCCCAUGUGAAGGAAGAAAUCCCCUAAGAAGUCCUAAUUAACCCUUUAGGCUUGCUUUGUGUCCCGAGACCAAAACUCAUAGAAUUUGACACUUGAAUUUGGUUGAGGACUAGCCAAGAUAUUACAACGGAAGUGUGUGGAAAAUGAAAAAUGUCCAUAAAAGCAAAAUUGGGAGAUAUGAGGUCAAAUCAUAAGGCAUGCACAUGAAGGACAUUUUUUACCAUUCGGGAUUGUUUGGGCCAUAAGUGGGCCAAUAGACUCGAACGAAGCCCAAACUAAAACCAUGUGAUAGUUGCCUAUUUAAGGAACAUGUGAAGCACAAGGCUACCCAAAACAAUUAAGAAUUGAGCAAGUUAUUGAGUUUUGAAGUAAGGGUAUAGGAAUGGGCCUAGCUUUUUGCACAGUUUGGACCUUUCAGGACUUAAGUGGACCGUAGAUUAGCCAAAUGUAGUCAUUGCAAGCCCAAAUUUGCUUUGUAAGUAGUGGAAACAAUGAACAGCAAGUGAAGGUAAAAUGAGUCUGAAACGGGUAAGAAUUGAGGGUGUUAUGGCUAUUUGAAGUGAAGGCAUGUGCAUGGAGUGCAAUUUUGGGCCUUAUGGGUUUAGAUGAGCCUAAGGCGACCCAAAACAUAUCCAAUGGAGCCCAAAUUCGGUAUGGAAGCUCCUGGAAGGUGGAUAAGACAUGGGAUAGUCUAUAUAAGAUUAUAAUAAUCUAGAAUUACUUAAAGGCUAAGGAAAGAAAGAGAUAAGGAUAAUGAUGAAGCUUGAGGAGGUUUAAAUGGCCAAUCAAGUUUUUCCACCUCUUCCAUGCUUAUCAACUUGCAUGGACGUCCCUCCCUUAUAAAUAGGAGUGUGGGGAGAUAGGGAAAUCAUUUUGGAGUUGAAAGAAAGCAAGUUUAGAGGGAGAAAUAAGAGAGAGAAAGAGAAGAGGAAAAAGAGCGAAAAAGAGAAGAAACCCAAUAAAAGUGAGGGAAAUUGAUGGAAUUUGGGAGUUAUUCCUUGAGAAAAAUCUACCCAAAUUGUGAGAGGAAGAGACAGAAUGGAAGAAGAAAAGGAGAAAAAAAAAAGAAAGAAAAUAAAAAGAGAGCAAAAGCUCAUAGCUAACCAAGGGAGAACCCGCGGGCUUAAGAUACUGCACAAGAACAUUCCAUAACUUUGCCAGAUUUUUGAGAGAAAAAACUUAAAAAUUAAGCCAAGACUUUACCAGAGUUAAAGCACCAUGUCCUAUAAGGAAAUUGAUGAAAAUAUAAUGGAGAAUCUGCUCAAGUGAAAUGAGAAAAUUGAAGUAUUUUUAAGGGAAGAUUCUGACAGAGUGACUACAAAAAAUUGGGGAAAAUACAGGGGGAGACUCUUUCAGGAUAUUUGCUUAUUAGAAUAGUGUAUGUUACUCCUCCAUCAUUUUUUAAUAAUAAGGAUUCCACUGCAAAUAGUAUGUGAUACAAAAAAGAUGUUGAGAAGUUAGAGAUUAGGUUACCAGUUAGUACUUUUGUAUUGUAAGAAAAAAAAAAUUUUGGAGUCUCAUAUUGUAUUGUAGUUGAUGUAUAUUAUUCAAGGGAUGUAACGAUUCUACAUAUUCCAUAUAUUAAUGAAAGUUAAUUUUUGUUAUUUAAUUAAGUAAAAAGUGUUAGUGUGCUCCGGACAUGCCCUAGAAGAAAAAGGCGCGGGUCACGACAUUAUAGAUGGUGUAUAUAUGAAAUGGACAAAAAAAUAUUUCCGUUAAUUGAUUAAUUUUUCUUGAUAUGAAUAGUGGUUGGUGAAUAAUAAAUUAACUAAAUUGAUAUUCUUUACGUAAAAAAAAAUGAGUAUAUUUGGUCAUUAUAUAUCAUAUAAAAUAUACACAUUCAUGUGAGAUGCUUAUUGGAUAUCAUUGAAAAUUGAUGAUAUUUCAAUGUGAUAAACUUAUUGAAUAUCUAAAUAUUGAUGAUACUUCAAUGUGAUAUGUUUAUUGAAUAUCUUUGACAAUUGUUGAUAUUUCAAUCUAUUGAACUUAUUUAUUGAUUUUGAUAACACCCUUUUUGGCUAAGAAUUUUUUUUGUCUUUUAUAUCUUUUUUAUUUAUUCUUAAGACAUCAAAGGAAAAAGAUUUCUUUUUAAUCCAAUAUACGGUUUUUUAUUUAAGGGAAGAAAAAGGGGGGGAUCAAUCCAUAGUAGCAAUUGACUCUUUAGGAGAGAAAAAUCUUUGAAAAAAAAAUCUUUGUAACAAAAAGUGAAUGAAUCUUAUUCCUUUUCACUAGAAAAACUAUUCUCAUAUCCUUGGUUAAAUAAGGAAAAUGAUAGUGAGUAGUUUUCAUGAGUUUUUUGAGAUAUUUUGUUGAGUAUAGGACAAAAGUUCUUAUUUUUUACUUGUUCUUUAAAACUAAAAGAAU